UAAGAAAAAUAUUAAUACAAGUGUGCACAAAAUAAUAGUAAUGCUAUAAUAAUCUCUUGCUUCCAACCCUUGCAAAACACCUGCAACAGGAACAUCCUAAGCCAAAAAUGUGAAAGCAACAUGUAAAAUUGUUUAGAUACUGAUCCACAUCGAUCUUUACAACCAAAAGGGAAAACUGCUAAAGUAAAGAACAUGAAAUAUCAGAAAAUCACCCUUUCAGGGAAAAUCUAGGUAAACUGAAUGUCUGAGAUGUAGCAACUCUUUAGACAUGAUACAUUAAAAGGAUCACAGGAAUUCGUAUAAAUAUUGACCUUAAUAACCGAUUACAACAACCUACAGCACCUCCCAAAAUAUAUAGAAGACAAACACAAUCAUGUACCAGUUAUUUGGAAAGCGGUACAGGAAUUUAACUUAAUUAGCCACAGUUACUGGUUGAACAUUGCCACUCAAUUAAACAGAAGCCUCAGAAACAACACCAAAAAGGUUUCUGAAGGUCAUCAUAAAAUUCAAUUGAAAACAGAAAUCUGCAGGUCAGUAAACGAAUUAGAAUUGUCGGACUUCUGCUGCUAAUAUGUAAAACUUUGGAUUUCUCCUUUCUUGACUACAUCAUGUAAAUCUGAGAAUCGCUCAAUUAAAUCGCUGAGAAAUGGGCUAAAAAAGGCUAAACUUGAUAUAAAGUAUCCAAGAAAGUAAGUUGGUAUACAGUAUCUGCUGAAUGAACCACUUUAACUGAAUAUGUUCACAUCUGUAGCUCUUGUGUUGAAAGAUGUAACAAUUUUCAAGAGUAAAUAUAACAGUUUUCAAUGUUAGAGUUCUAUAUACCACAGGCAGAAUGAGAUAUACUGUAAGCAAAG
rnacentral:lncRNA from 1 species